ensembl:lncRNA
UUUUAUGUUGCAAUUAACAUAAUUCUUAACCUAAUUAUUUAAAAUAAUGUUGUCUGUGCCCUACAAAUUGUACUAGGUUUUUUUUUUUUUUUUUGGCCCCAAAACUGAGAGAAAAGGAUAAGGCCUAAGAGAUUUCUUAAGCUGUAAUGAUGAAAAAAUAAAAAACGACAACACACAAUUACUGAUUUUUUUUUUCUUUUUUUUUUCUUCUGGUGAUUAAAGAGAUGUUAACUCUCUCUCUCUCUCUCUCUCUCUCUCUCUGUCAGGCAGGCCCUCAAGCACCCCCACCCCCCUCCCUUCACACACUCAGUCACCAACAACAAAGUCAGUCACUUAGUCAGUCACCAACAGCACACACACUCAGUCACCAAACCCCUCCCUUCUCUCACACAGAGAGAGAGUGGCCUUAGAGAGUGAGAUCAGAUGUCUGACAGUUUUUUAAUUUUCUGUUAUCCAUACAGUGUUGUAAAAUCGUGAAACUAUGCAUAUUUCCUCAGAAUGACUUGUUCUAUGUAUGAAAAAUGGGUUUGAAGUGUUU